AAAAAAAUCAAGCAAACCCGGACAAACCUCCUAAACCUGGUAUAAUAUCUAAAACCUGUAACUUGUGAAAUCUUGGACGUGGGUUCAAUCAACAAACUUAUCUUUUAACAAAUUUAAAUUUUAAAGAUGAAAUGACGGAAAAAUAUUAAAAAAAACAUGCAAAAGAAAAAAAAAACAACAAAAAGAAUGAGGAUAAAAUUUAAUUCAAAAAAACCCGAGGAUGAUGAAGGUUGAAAGAAAAUAAUACAAAUGAUCACAAACAAAGUAAAUUGCAAUAAUAAAAAAAAAGAGAAUCAAAUUCAAAAGACUAAAAAAUAGUAGAGGGUGGAAUAAAAAUAAAUUGUCGAGAGCUAACCCAAAAGAAUCAAAACACAAAAA
rnacentral:lncRNA from 1 species